rnacentral:rRNA from 1 species
CCUACGGGAGGCAGCAGUGGGGAAUAUUGGGCAAUGGGCGCAAGCCUGACCCAGCAACGCCGCGUGAAGGAAGAAGGCUUUCGGGUUGUAAACUUCUUUUCUCAGGGACGAAGAAAGUGACGGUACCUGAUGAAUAAGCUACGGCUAACUACGUUCCAGCAGCCGCGGUAAUACGUAGGUGGCAAGCGUUAUCCGGAUUUAUUGGGUGGAAAGGACGUGUAGGCGGGAGCGCAAGUCAGAUGUGAAAACUCAGGGCUCAACCCAGGGCCUGCGUUUGAAACUGUGGUUCUUGAGUGCUGGAGAGGCAAUCGGAAUUCCGUGUGUAGCGGUGAAAUGCGUAGAUAUAAGGAGGAACACCAGUGGCGAAGGCGGAUUGCUGGACAGUAACUGACGCUGAGGCGCGAAAGCGUGGGGAGCAAACAGGAUUAGAUACCCGGGUAGUC